UAAGAGCUUGCUAAGUGUUAGAGGGUUUCCGCCCUUUAGUGCUGAAGUUAACGCAUUAAGCACUCCGCCUGGGGAGUACGGCCGCAAGGCUCAUACUCAAAGGAAUUGACGGCGGCCCGCACAAGCGGUGGGCAUGUGGUUUAAUUCGAAGCAACGCGAAGAACCUUACCAGGUCUUGACAUCCUCUGAAAACCCUAGAGAUAGGGCUUCUCCUUCGGGAGCAGAGUGACAGGUGGAGCAUGGUUGUCGUCAGCUCGUGUCGUGAGAUGUUGGGUUAAGUCCCGCAACGAGCGCAACCCUUGAUCUUAGUUGCCAUCAUUAAGUUGGGCACUCUAAGGUGACUGCCGGUGACAAAGCGGAGGAAGGUGGGGAUGACGUCAAAUCAUCAUGCCCCUUAUGACCUGGGCUACACACGUGCUACAAUGGACGGUACAAAGAGCUGCAAGACCGCGAGGUGGAGCUAAUCUCAUAAAAGGUGGCUCAGUUCGGAUUGUAGGCUGCAACUCGCCUACAUGAAGCUGGAAUCGCUAGUAAUCGCGGAUCAGCAUGCCGCGGUGAAUACGUUCCCGGGCCUUGUACACACCGCCCGUCACACCACGAGAGAUUGUAACACCCGAA
rnacentral:rRNA from 1 species